GGCCAAUGCCCUGGGUGGAGGCGUGAAUGGGAGGCAUACAAAGCUGCUUCUCGUGGCCUGCUCUCCCCCCGCCUCUCAGGGAGGCUGUCCUGUCCACCGCCCUGUGGCCCUAAACAGCCACAUCCUGUAAUCUGAGGCCAGUGACCUAUGACUUGUCUCCUCACUUGAAUAAAUUACCAGGCUAAUUAGGUUCCAUUUCUUGAGCAUCUGCUGACGGUAGGAGCUGGGCUAAAGAUCCUGAAGUUGACUGAAGCUGGAGUGGUCAUUAUGGGAUGGUGCCAGAUGGAAAACAGGGAUGUCUCAUUUACUGGAGGAAUGACAGUGUGAAUGGAGGCAUGGUUGUGUUCUCACCAGCCGAGAUAAACGCCGACCAGACCAGCAGACAUCCUGUGCUCGCUUCCUUUACUUGGUUUUCAGAUGAGGCCUUGGUGUAUCACUGGUUUUGUAAGGAAUACGAAAUAAUGACAGAAGUGAUUCUUCAGGCUGGAGUGCAAUGCAAGAUCACGGCUCACCGCAACCUCCACCUCCUG